CUAAACGCCAUUAUGGCGAUAUCAUGAAAAACAUAAUUUGUGAAGAACUUCGAGAUGCAAUGAAAUAUGAUUGUGAUAUCUUUAUUCAACAAUGCUCUGUCAUUAGAUAUUACUCCAGAUGAUCCAGUAGAAAGAAUAAAACAAUGCUUGGUUAACGCUGAAUUUGGCUAUGGACUUUAUAAUGUUGAAACUGAAUUAUUCUAUGCUGAAGUGGAUCAAGAAUUAAAAAUGUGGAAUGAAAAAUUUUUAGAAUAGGGUACCUCUAAAUAUACAAAUAGAAUGAAAGAAAAUAUGAAACAUCAAUUAUGUUUAUUAUUAAAUACGUUAGACAAAAAUAAUUGCGAAUAUGAAAUUACAAAAUGUUGUAACGAUUUUGUAGCAAGUUAUAACCUAGAAUAGAAACUUAAUAUCAA